CAAUCGGCCCUUUUCAGGGCUACUUUACUGAUUUAUCUAUAAUGAU
rfam:Aedes aegypti strain Liverpool supercont1.516 genomic scaffold, whole genome shotgun sequence.